rnacentral:snRNA from 1 species
AUGCUGGGUCCUCGCUUUAGCAAGUAUACUAAAAUUGGAAAGAGACAGGAAAGAUUAGCACGGUCCCUGCAAAAGAAUGACACAGAAAUUUGGGAAGCUUUUCAUAUUAAA